AACGAACGCUGGCGGCAGGCUUAACACAUGCAAGUCGAGCGCCCCGCAAGGGGAGCGGCAGACGGGUGAGUAACGCGUGGGAACGUACCCUUUGCUACGGAAUAGCUCCGGGAAACUGGAAUUAAUACCGUAUGUGCCCUUCGGGGGAAAGAUUUAUCGGCAAAGGAUCGGCCCGCGUUGGAUUAGCUAGUUGGUGGGGUAAAGGCCUACCAAGGCGACGAUCCAUAGCUGGUCUGAGAGGAUGAUCAGCCACACUGGGACUGAGACACGGCCCAGACUCCUACGGGAGGCAGCAGUGGGGAAUAUAGGACAAUGGGCGCAAGCCUGAUCCAGCCAUGCCGCGUGAGUGAUGAAGGCCCUAGGGUUGUAAAGCUCUUUCACCGGUGAAGAUAAUGACGGUAACCGGAGAAGAAGCCCCGGCUAACUUCGUGCCAGCCGCCGCCGUAACAC
rnacentral:rRNA from 1 species